rnacentral:rRNA from 1 species
AUUGAACGCUGGCGGAAUGCUUUACACAUGCAAGUCGAACGGCAGCACGGGGGCAACCCUGGUGGCGAGUGGCGAACGGGUGAGUAAUACAUCGGAACGUUCCCGGUCGGGGGGGAUAACGUAGCGAAAGUUACGCUAAUACCGCAUACGAUCUGAGGAUGAAAGCGGGGGACCUUCGGGCCUCGCGCGAUCGGAGCGGCCGAUGGCAGAUUAGGUAGUUGGUGGGGUAAAGGCCUACCAAGCCGACGAUCUGUAGCUGGUCUGAGAGGACGACCAGCCACACUGGGACUGAGACACGGCCCAGACUCCUACGGGAGGCAGCAGUGGGGAAUUUUGGACAAUGGGCGCAAGCCUGAUCCAGCCAUUCCGCGUGCAGGACGAAGGCCUUCGGGUUGUAAACUGCUUUUGUAUGGAACGAAAAGGCUCUGGCUAAUACCUGGGGCGCAUGACGGUACCGUAAGAAUAAGCACCGGCUAACUACGUG